rnacentral:lncRNA from 1 species
GCGAGCCUACUCUGCAGGUUUCACCGAUCUCUCAUUUUGUUUCCACUAUACCUACUCAGUUUCCUCUCUCGAAGUAACCUCUGCUGAAUCUGGCUCGUACACCAUGUUUUGGCGGGGUCAUUUUUUGCCAUCAUCUUGGGCCAUACAGUAUCUUCAACUCUGAACGUGUGGGCCCUUCUGCUCUGAAGGCCCAAAGCCUCAUCCACAUCCUGGCCCACAAGCGCAUCAUGAUCCAUAUACUCCACUCCAGGCUUUCCGCUCACUUUCAAAUUCUCAUAUCCCACGGGAUGCGGAGGAAUUGAAUUUUGAAAAGGUUACAGAUACAUCCAGUUAUUCUCCGCAAUUCUCCCGAUUUGCGCCUCGGAUCCUGGAAAUAUCUCGCCUGUUUCAUCUCUUAGCCAGUAGUUAGUUAGAAGUGAGUUCUAACGAGGGUUUGUUCUAAGCAAGUCAUCUCAUUCCCAUUUCAUGGUUCCCGCUUGAGGAUGAAGAAGUAACUUGCAAAAAACUUUCUGAGUGUCCCAGCGGACUACAUAAGUAGCAGAAAACCGAAAGGCAUUUAUAUUUAAACAUGACAUUUAUUGAAUUUCCAUCCCUCAAAAUAAAUUUUUUCUGUCGAAAAAUCAGUUUUCGUACGUCCACUACCACCUUUAUAUGCAUGAACCCCAUACGGCUAGAGUUGGGAUGGGUGUCAUACUCGAUAAACAUUCCCAAUACCAUCCUAAACUAUCUCGUCAUCGAUUCCAUGUAGCAUCUCGUCAGCAAGUGGUAACUUGCACUAAGAACAAGCUAAGAUUAAUAUCUAUUUGAAUAGGGUCCUCUCUUUCCAAGAGUUGAUGCCAAACCAACAAAUGAUUGUUAAAUGUCAACGAACUCCCAUUCAUGAACUGUUGAUUGUCCACUUCAUAAAAAAAUCAGAACAAUUAUCGACUGGCUCCCACCUCUUUAUACUAACUCCUCCUGACGAUCUCCAGACAUCCACUAGAGUAUUCUGCAUAGGUUCGAAUUUAAUCACAACAUCAAUCAAAAACUGUCCCACCAGACACAUCUCAUAAGUCUUCUUCUGAUCAGGGGCCACCUCAGCAAUCUUUCAACCACCCUCUUCAGCAUCAGUAAUGGUAGGGGCAGCCAUGUGCUCUUUGGUGUCCACGAUGGUCGUCGCAGUUUCCAAUCUAGGGUAACAGUAACUCGUGCCAAAGGGCAGACAUCAUUACGUGCCAAAAGGCAGACAUUCUUAAUAGAAAUUAAAAUUUUAAUAUCUACAUAAAAU